CCCUCAUCCUCACUUCCUCCCCCGCAGCCUCUCCUGAUUCCCGAUUGCCCCACACAGCGCCGCCGCCAACCACCUCCUCGCUCCCCUCCUCCAACAGCUCGCCGAUGGCCCUAUCCUCCUCACCUCGGGCAGCUUCCAGAUGCGCAGCAUUCUCCACCCAUCCAUCCAUCUCACAAACAAUCUCUCUCUCGUGUGAACCCUCGCAACGCAGCCAACGCCUGCCAAUUCCGGCGACGUCCACCAUGGCGCAGCACACACAGAAGCUAGUCUCCGACCACUCUGUCCUCCAGGCCGGCAGGAUCCGCAGCUCCCUGUCUCUGGCGCUCGCCCCGCGACCCCUAGCCCGUGACUAGGGUUUCGACUAUGGCUUCGCUUCCAUCGUCGGCGUGUCUCUGGUGGCUCCGCUCCGUCGCACACUGCGCCCCCUCGCGCCCUCUCGGCCUCCUGGAUGGCCCCCCCUAGCUCAGUGCGCUUACUCGCGUUGGGCUGCACGGCGGCGACCCCAACCUCCUCUGUCGCAUCUCCGGCGCGGCUGUGUAGCCCGUGGCAACUUCCUCUGCCGCAUUUGAACCACUGGAAGCCCUCCCUUGCCCAGGAAGUGGAUGUACGAUGGUGAUGUCGAUUGUUGGCUGCCGGUGUCAACCAGCAAAUAUGUCGAGACAAGUACCAGUUCAUGGAAGUGUCCAAGUCGAGCUAGCUCAACAAGUCGUGAAUCUGAACAUCCUUUUGCAUUAGCAACUCUCUGAAUGAUGUUGUUGGCCUGAAAAUGAAGGCCAAUUAAGCUAAAACCUUAAAUAAUGCAUGCUCACUAGCAAGGGAAUAAUGGUAUGCACUGAUCAAUUGAUACUUUAUUCCAAUAUUUUUGAGUUUUGCUUGAUACAUACAUUUGUUGACCAAGAUAUCAUAUAGCCACGAUUAAUCCUAUUGUAGCAGUAGUACAUUGGUUAGAAUAGUUAAUUCAUAGAAGAAAAUGUGGUGUACAUUCAUUUGAUAUUAAGUUAUAUCAGCUUCCCAAAAUUGUUACAAUCAUCUUCCGUGUAGAGUAUAUAAUAUAUUUUUAGACCUGUGGUCAGGUUUAUAACAUGGUUGACCGUACAAAAUUGUUGUGACUUAUCAUCAAUAUUUCUACAUACAUUUUUCUUUUUUUUGUUCCAACGUGCAUACAAUUGUAACUUGGUAAAAUGACACCCCUAAUAAUAAUUUAAUUCAGACAUAUAUUCUAGUCUUUUGCAUCUAUUCAAGCUGAACCUGACUACAAGCAUGGAAGUCCUCUAUCUUUAACUAGGACCUGACUACAAGCAUAGAAGAUGAGCAGCACUUCCUUACAUGCAACAACUAAUAAGAAUUUGAUUCACACAUAUAUUCUAGUCUUUGGCAUCUAUUCAAGCUGAACCUGACUACAAGCAUGGAAGUCCUCUUUCUGUAACUAGGAUGUUAUUUGCUUUGCUGGGUAUGAGUGAAAAAUACAUGGAAACUAUAUUGACUGGUUUGUAUUUCACAUGAUUCUGACCUACUUGCAUUAGUAUUAGUAUAAGCAUGGAUGAAAGGUAUUUUAGGUCCCUACUAGACUAGAAAAAAUUGUAAGCCAUCUACAAAUAUCUAAUGUUUGUUAUAAUUUUGGACAGAUCAUGUUAUAUUCCCAGUUGGUGCUUCCUAUCACAUCUUAUUUAGGCUAAACGUUUUUCAACAUAUCAAGUCAUAUGCUCAGAUAUAUGGAUAUAGUAUAGUCGAGUUAUCCUUAGUAUUGAACUGUUGAUCAGUUAUGUAUAAUUUCAGCACCUGCCAAAGCAUUUUAGUCAUCUAAUAAACAGAACUAUGUGCAGUUGGAAUCAGGUGAAAAAGAAUUGGUGAAAGUAACAAACUGGAACUGUUUUCAAAGUGACAAGUUCAGAUAUUUGUGGCACCUAUUUACUCUUUUGACUAGUCGUACGUUGUAACAACACCAUAAACAAUGGAGAGCCAUGACCAGUCUGUACUGUAUAGUUUCUUGUGCUUAUUCUUCUUGCUCAGUUGUUCUGUACACAUGCUGGACUUGUUCAAACCGUAUCCCUGGGAAUCCAGGCCCGUGCAUUUGUUUAAAACCGUUAAAAUGAACUGUCCAUUAUGUUACGAGAACACCAUGAUGUUAUGUAUGGACCUCUUCUGCAGCAGUAGCCCUAUCUGUUGAUUUGUAUCAGGUCUAAAAGGUUAUCUCCCCUUCAUGUGUUGUGAAGGAAGCUGUGUGCUAGAUUUUUGUAUUUAUUUUGAACAUUGAAUGACUGUAGGAGAAUUUCCUACAGUCUUUUAUAUUAGUAUAAGUCAUAAAAUAAUCACUAGAUUUUUGUCUUCACCUACUUUACAUGAAUGUGUUUGUUUGUGUUAUAUAAAUUUGUUUCUUGACUGUCCACAUUUGUGGAUAUUUUUGCAGCUAGUAGAAUAUCUUCAAGUUGCAGUAAAGGCAGCAAACUUUAUAAAGGAAAAACUCUAUGAUGCAAGCUCAAAAAGGUUGCAUCAUAGUUAUUGAAAUGGCCCAGCAAAUGCACCAGGAUUUUUUUGAUGAUUAUGCCUUUUUAAUCAAUGGCUUGUUGGAUCUCUAUCAAUUUGGUGGUUUCCUUGGUCAGAACCCCAAGGGAGUUUGAGCUACAGAGGUGAUGUUGAUGAUUAAGAGGGUCUGCAUGAUGUUGUAUAUUUCUUAUGUAAUGUCAUGUAAUUUUUAUCAAGGGCGUGUGAGCCAAUGUUGGAUGUAAAUGACCUUUACUUGUUGAAAUUAUUGAAUGAAAAUUUAUGAAAUCUGUCAA